rnacentral:rRNA from 1 species
GUCAGCUCGUGUCGUGAGAUGUUGGGUUAAGUCCCGCAACGAGCGCAACCCUCGUCCCUAGUUACCAGCGAGUAAAGUCGGGCACUCUAGGGAGACUGCCGGUGUCAAACCGGAGGAAGGUGGGGACGACGUCAAGUCAUCAUGGCCCUUACGUCCAGGGCGACACACGUGCUACAAUGGCCGGUACAGAGCGUCGCCAACUCGCAAGAGUGCGCUAAUCGCUAAAAGCCGGUCUAAGUUCGGAUUGUGGUCUGCAACUCGACCACAUGAAGCUGGAAUCGCUAGUAAUCGCGGAUCAGCCACGCCGCGGUGAAUACGUUCCCGGGCCUUGUACACACCGCCCGUCACGCCAUGGAAGCUGGGGGGACCUGAAGUCGGUGGGCUAACCGCAAGGAGGCAGCCGC